rnacentral:rRNA from 1 species
UACGAAGGGGGCUAGCGUUGUUCGGAAUUACUGGGCGUAAAGCGCACGUAGGCGGAAUGUUAAGUCAGGGGUGAAAGCCCGGGGCUUAACCCCGGGUCUGCAUUCGAUACGGGCAGGCUAGAGUGUGGUAGGGGAGAUCGGAAUUCCUGGUGUAGCGGUGAAAUGCGCAGAUAUCUGGAGGAACACCGGUGGCGAAGGCGGCAUCCUGGACCAAUAUUGACGCUGAGGAGCGAAAGCCAGGGGAGCAAACGGG